rnacentral:lncRNA from 1 species
CAGCAAUGAAGGCACAGGGGAGGUAACCAAGGGGUACUGUUAGAUACCCAAAGAAGGAACCAUUAAGGAAACACUAAUAGACCAGCUGACAUUCUUCCUUUGUGUCCUACUCAAGAAAUAUCAGCUCUUAAAGAAACUGCUAAUAGUUAAGUCAUGGUUUUUAGUCUAAAAUCCUGACUCAGAAAUGUUACACAAUCUUCAUGGGAAUCUAGGAAAAUAUGAUGAUUUAUCUAAGAAACUAAGGUGGCACAAAGAAGAAACCCAGGAAAAAAUAUAGAAAAAAACUGAUUAUAAAAUGAAUCUAGAAAAACAAAGGACCUAGAAUGGCCAAAACAACUUUGAAAAAGAAGAAUGAAGUUGGAGGGCUUAAUACUCGGAUUUUAAGACUUAUUACAAAGCUUCUUUAUCACGACCGUGUGGUAUGAGCAACAAGAAAAGACAACCGGAUCAAUUGAAAAAAAUAGAGAAUCCAUUCAAUCGACUCUCAUUAUGGUCUCACUUAGUCGCCCAGGCUGAAGAACAGUGGCUCAA